UACGUAGGUGGCAAGCGUUGUCCGGAUUUACUGGGCGUAAAGAGCGCGCAGGCGGUCGUUCAAGUCGCGUGUGAAAGCCCCCGGCUCAACUGGGGAGGGUCACGCGAUACUGAUCGACUCGAAGGCAGGAGAGGGAAGUGGAAUUCCCGGUGUAGUGGUGAAAUGCGUAGAUAUCGGGAGGAACACCAGUGGCGAAGGCGACUUCCUGGCCUGUUCUUGACGCUGAGGCGCGAAAGCGUGGGGAGCGCACAGG
rnacentral:rRNA from 1 species